UACGAAGGGUGCAAGCGUUGUUCGGAAUUACUGGGCGUAAAGGGUUUGUAGGCUGAAAUGUAAGUCAAGUGUGAAAUCCCCGAGCUAAACUUGGGACGUGCAUUUGAAACUGUGUUUCUUGAGUAUCGUAGAGGGUGGUGGAAUUGUAGGUGUAGGAGUGACAUCCGUAGAGAUCUGCAGGAACAUCAGAGGCGAAGGCGACCACCUGGCCUGGCAUUGACGCUCAUGUGCGAAAGCGUGGGGAGCAAACAGG
rnacentral:rRNA from 1 species